GUGAGGAAUAUUGGUCAAUGGGCGGGAGCCUGAACCAGCCAAGUCGCGUGAAGGAAGAAGGAUCUAUGGUUCGUAAACUUCUUUUGCAGGGGAAUAAAGUGCAGGACGUGUCCUGUUUUGUAUGUACCCUGAGAAUAAGGAUCGGCUAACUGCGUGCCAGCAGCCGCGGUAAUACGGAGGAUCCGAGCGUUAUCCGGAUUUAUUGGGUUUAAAGGGUGCGUAGGUGGUCUGAUAAGUCAGCGGUGAAAGUUUGCAGCUUAACUGUAAAAAUGCCGUUGAAAGUGUCGGACUUGAGUGUAAAUGAGGUAGGCGGAAUGCGUGGUGUAGCGGUGAAAUGCAUAGCUAUCACGCAGAACUCCGAUUGCGAAGGCAGCUUACUAAGCUACAACUGACACUGAAGCACGAAAGCGUGGGGAUCAAACAGGAUUAGAUACCCCGGUAGUCC
rnacentral:rRNA from 1 species